GAUCGAAUUUCUAGUUGCAAUUCUCUGUCUGUCCCUUGGCUCUGGGCAGGAAAGGGGGGGACCGGUGGCGCGGGGUUUAGGGAGGGGCUAACGAGGGGGGUCUCUUCGCCCCCUCACUCUCCUUCUUCGCCUUGUCCCGGCCCUGAGUGGCCGGCCCAGAAGGGGUUGAAAGAAUGUUGUUGGCUGGGACACACCCGGGAGGGCACACACUGGAGGAAGCUAACAGACGUCGCCAGGGACCCAGGGUCCUCUCCUCCCAGUUCCCCGGGCCGAGCCGGCCCCGCUGGCCACUCCCUCUUACAGCGCCCACUCGGCCCGCGGCGGUCCCAGGGCAAGCAGCCUGGCCCCUUGUCCCGGGCGCUUGAAUAUCCUCCCCGGAUCACUGCUUCAGCCCACACUUUGGGGAAGGUGCUUCCCUGGGGCUUGCUCCGGAUCAGGCGCCUGCGCCCUCAGGGGCACCCCGACUGCCAAAUUUGCGCCCCUCCUGGGACUGUUUGAGAGAAGGACAAACUUUUGAACGGAUUAAAAAUCAAGAGGAGUCCGUCUGGGGCAGGGGUCCUCUUUCCCUUGGAUGGAGAGGCUGCUCCUCUCUUGGCUCUUGGCUAUCUCUCCGAGGAACACACCCCUUGAUUAGCCAGGCCCGCAGCCAUCCCCAUCUGCUCUGCUGAGAAGGGAGGCCACUCAUUCCAGGCCUUGGUGGAAGGGAUACAGACUGCCCAACGCAGCUUCCUUGCCUCAAUCGGCCCCUCAGGGAAGGUGGGAACCUCCUUCACUUCGCAGGAUCCGGAAUCUCCGCCGGCAGAGCGGACAGCCGCGCUCUGGACCCUGACGCUGGAAGAAGUUUCUGUCAUUGCGCUCUCCUUGCUGUCUCAGCCUCUGCCCAUGUCUGCGUGCUGUUGUGUUCUCCCUCACUGAGGGAAAUAAAAUGUCCCUCCCCACUCCCCUAGUCAUUCCCUGUACCCUACCCCCACCAAACCUUCUAGCUGCUGACGGUAAUGAACUCCAGCUUCCAGCCUUGCUCAUAAGCUACUCACAGUGAAUUCAAAUUCUCUUCUGGGCAGGAGGGAGGACAGAUGCUCCUUCCUCGGUCCUCCCUUGCUCAGUGAUCCAUUUUGAAGGCCUUUUGGGGUCAAAGUCAGACCAGAUUGCUUCCAUUGGUAUAAAAUUAGCAUCUUAAAAAAAUCACACCCAGAUUUCUAGCAUCCCAGAAUAGAAGUCUUGGGGCACCUGGCUGGCUCAUUCAGUGGAGCAUGUGAGUCUUGAUCUCAGGGUCAUGAGUUCAAGCCCACAUUGGGCAUAGAAAUUACUUAA